CCUACGGGAGGCAGCAGUGAGGAAUAUUGGUCAAUGGACGAGAGUCUGAACCAGCCAAGUAGCGUGAAGGAUGACUGCCCUAUGGGUUGUAAACUUCUUUUAUAUGGGAAUAAAACGUUCCACGUGUGGGAUUUUGUAUGUACCAUAUGAAUAAGGAUCGGCUAACUCCGUGCCAGCAGCCGCGGUAAUACGGAGGAUCCGAGCGUUAUCCGGAUUUAUUGGGUUUAAAGGGAGCGUAGGUAGAUUGUUAAGUCAGUUGUGAAAGUUUGCGGCUCAACCGUAAAAUUGCAGUUGAAACUGGCAGUCUUGAGUACAGUAGAGGUGGGCGGAAUUCGUGGUGUAGCGGUGAAAUGCUUAGAUAUCACGAAGAACUCCGAUUGCGAAGGCAGUUCACUGGACUGCAACUGACACUGAGGCUCGAAAGUGUGGGUAUCAAACAGGAUUAGAUACCCCAGUAGUC
rnacentral:rRNA from 1 species